rnacentral:rRNA from 1 species
UACGUAGGGGGCAAGCGUUGUCCGGAAUCAUUGGGCGUAAAGAGCGUGUAGGCGGUCCGAUUAGUCCGCUGUGAAAGUCCAGGGCUCAACCCUGGAAAGCCGGUGGAUACUGUCGGGCUAGAGUCCGGAAGAGGCGAGUGGAAUUCCUGGUGUAGCGGUGAAAUGCGCAGAUAUCAGGAGGAACACCGAUGGCGAAGGCAGCUCGCUGGGACGGUACUGACGCUGAGACGCGAAAGCGUGGGGAGCGAACAGG